rnacentral:lncRNA from 1 species
UAAACGGGGAAUGAGGUCGGUGUGUUUAAAAGAGCGUUAAGCACCCACUCUUCUUUUGUUGGUGGUUUUCAGCUUUUUUUUUUUUUUUAAUGUGAAAUUUAAUUCUGUAACAAACAGUAGCAAAUACUACUUAGUCCCAAAGACUUCAUAACCGUGGCGCAAGGGAGCUCGGUGUGUUGGGGGCGGGGGUUUGGAGGGGAAGUUCUGAGGUCUUUUGCUAUUCGGAUCACUGCCCCUCCUCCCCCCGCGGUGGGCGACGACGACAAACAUCACCCUGGGGAAUCCGGAGCGAAAAGUAGCCGCGCGUUUUCUGGGGCCGAGAAAACCUGUGAUUUUGCGCUUAGGUUGCUUUUAUCUGACUGAGACUCUACCUAUAAGCUUUUGGAGUUCAGACCCUGAGUCUUUGUUCUGCAUGCGACUGCUGCUGCCACUUAAAGACAUCGCAGAUAAUGUCCCCGAUUUAAGACCAGUGCUUAAUGCACAUUAACUUUCUUUUCUUUCCUUUUUAAGCUCUGCCUCCGACCUGCGGAGGGAUCACGCGGCAGUGGUGGGCAGAUAAAAGCCCUUUGGACGAGGUUCACCUCCGUCCUUGUUGUUCACUUGAGAGCAGUGGAGAGGAAAACGGUCCCCACGGGCGGACUUUGGCUUCUAGAGCCGCGGUGCUCGUCGGUCUCAGCCUCGCGGAGCCUCCGCCGGGCUCGGGCGCGGGGGAGGGGCGGCGGGGGAGGGGACGGGGAGAGGGGAUUUGGGGCUGGGGGGCUGGAAGCGCUAACAAGACCUGCUGGGAGGAUUGGCGUCUGCAGGCCCAAGAGUGACUUGGGAGCGCUGGGUGAGGAGGUGGAUCUCGGCCUAGUCUGCUUGUGCUGAAAUAGAACUCUUAUUUCGAGGAAAUCAAUCAAUCCGCAGGAAACAAAAAUGGAAGUCGAGGUUUGGGAAGACUUGUCACUUCCCCGACUUGAGUGGUGCGGGCUGGGGGCGGAGACUUGGGAGACUGAAGAGAGGCCCUUUCUCCCACCUCAGCGCCUUUCCCAGGACUUCUAGAAGGGAGAAUGACCCUCCUCACCUCCCUUUCCCAACCCACCCUGGCUCGGCUUUCAGUCCCUUUCUGCACCUCCUUUUCCCUUCAAGUGAGAAAAGCCUAGUUCCCGAGCUGACGGAGUCGGUUCCCUCGCCCCUCCCGCUUCCACGCGGGUCCCCCCCCCACCUCCCCAGCCAUCGUUACUGCCACCACCUCGGUUCCACUCAAUCGAUUUUUGCUGCAGGUCAACAUUUAUUACCGAUUCUCCGACAGGGGCGAAAAAAAUCCCGUCUGCAAAUUCAGGGCUGCAGCUCCCGGCGCGAAGCUCCCCUCCCCAGCCCGGAGCCUCCUUGCCUCGUGCAGCCCCGCCGGCCUGUCAAGCGCCCCGCGCCUGGAGUGCCAGCCUGGACAGCUGACCCGGGCGUUCUGGACCCCUGGAUUCUGCAGGGCCACGCGGCCCAGCCCUGCGGGGGACCCGCGAAGGAGCCGCUGCCGCACCUGAACGUGCUCCCGGCAGGCGGCAUCACCCUGGGCCUCCCUGGACGCCCGAACUGUGGCUCCAGCACCACUUUGUAUUGACCACAACAGCUGCUUUAUCUUGAUGUUCCAUUUUUUGGCCGGCGACGUGGGAGAAGGGCGGUGGCCAGACGUGCCGCCUCGCAUGACCCUGACGGUAUUUUCAGAGGAACCCGGAGAAGCGGCGGCCCAGAGGGCAACCUACGCACCUCCGGGGACUCUUCUCGGGUCCCUCCGGACAACAAAACUGGAAUCUAAUCCGCAGCUGCCGCCGCCCGCCCCCCUCCCCCCCGCCUCCCGCGGCGUGCCUCGCCUGCCUGCCGCCCCGGGCGAGCGUCGGACCCAGGCGGCCAGGGCGCCACAGCCUGCCCUUAGAGUCCCGCUGGGCCGAAGAGCCCGCCGCCCCUGCACGCGCCGCUCAGGGCCUGGGCGGCGGCGUCGUGGGCGGUAGGGGCCCGGCCGGGGCGCGGCCUCCCGGCUGCGCUUCCAGGGACGCGCUGGGCUCUGACCGCGGAUCCGCCUGCUUCUCUGCCCUCUGGGAAUCCGCUUAGGGAGGCCCUGGCAGGAGGAGACCCCCCCCCCCCAACCCCGCCCCACCGCAUCCCCCUCACCCUCUCUGGGGCUUCUUCGCCUUCGCUCCCAAGCGGCCAUAUACCUUGAAUGGGUCUUCCCUGGCUGCCUCCCUCCAAGCUGCCCCUCCAAGCCCCGGGGUUGAACAUUAACCAGUCGGAGCUAUAGAGUGGAGUAAAACAUUACAUAUAAAAAUGAAUCAUCUAUCCGAUCCUGGGAGAGAGAGCCUAUAGCGAGCUCGGCGUCUAGCGCUGCCUCGGCCAUGUUACCAGUCCGACGCACCGACCCUCCUGGCGGCCACUUCCCCAAGGACCAAUGCCGGCGGCUGGGGUUUAGUGGGGGCUGAAGGGCUCAGAGUUCUCGGAUCAGUCUUUCUCCUUGAGGAACCUAAUGUCUACACCUUCUAACACAAGCUUAUGUCCUUUCCUCCCACACCUGAGGUACACAGAAAGGUCUGGAACAGUUUUUUCUCUCUUCCAAAGGUUAGUGGGAG